rnacentral:rRNA from 1 species
AACGAACGCUGGCGGCAUGCCUAACACAUGCAAGUCGAACGAGACCUUCGGGUCUAGUGGCGCACGGGUGCGUAACGCGUGGGAACCUGCCCUUAGGUUCGGAAUAACUCCCCGAAAGGGGUGCUAAUACCGGAUAAUGUCUUCGGACCAAAGAUUUAUCGCCUUUGGAUGGGCCCGCGUUGGAUUAGCUAGUUGGUAGGGUAAAAGCCUACCAAGGCGACGAUCCAUAGCUGGUCUGGGAGGAUGAUCAGCCACACUGGGACUGAGACACGGCCCAGACUCCUACGGGAGGCAGCAGUGGGGAAUAUUGGACGAUGGGCGAAAGCCUGAUCCAGCAAUGCCGCGUGAGUGAUGAAGGCCUUAGGGUUGUAAAGCUCUUUUACCCGGGAUGAUAAUGACGGUACCGGGAGAAUAAGCUCCGGCUAACUCCGUG